CCUACGGGGGGCAGCAACUAGGAAUCUUGGACAAUGGGGGAAACCCUGAUCCAGCGACGCCGCGUGAAGGAUGAAGGCCGAAAGGUUGUAAACUUCUUUUACAUGGGAACAAAUUGAGGGUACCAUGCGAAUAAGCCACUGCUAACUUCGUGCCAGCAGCAGCGGUGAUACGGGGGUGGCAAGCGUUAUCCGGAAUUAUUGGGCGUAAAGAGAUGCGUAGGCGUCUUGUUAAGUCUUAUCUUAAAUACCGAGGCUCAACUUCGGGAAUGGGUAGG
rnacentral:rRNA from 1 species